rnacentral:rRNA from 1 species
UAGGGAAUCUUCGGCAAUGGGGGCAACCCUGACCGAGCAACGCCGCGUGAGUGAAGAAGGUUUUCGGAUCGUAAAGCUCUGUUGUAAGAGAAGAACGUGUGUGAGAGUGGAAAGUUCACACAGUGACGGUAACUUACCAGAAAGGGACGGCUAACUACGUGCCAGCAGCCGCGGUAAUACGUAGGUCCCGAGCGUUGUCCGGAUUUAUUGGGCGUAAAGCGAGCGCAGGCGGUGUAAUAAGUCUGAAGUUAAAGGCAGUGGCUUAACCAUUGUUCGCUUUGGAAACUGUUAAACUUGAGUGCAGGAGGGGGGGGUGGAAUUCCCUGUGUGGCGGUGAAAUGCGUAGAUAUAUGGAGGAACACCGGUGGCGAAAGCGGCUCUCUGGUCUGUAACUGACGCUGAGGCUCGAAAGCGUGGGGAGCAAACAGG